rnacentral:lncRNA from 1 species
GGUUUUCUCUUUUCCGAAAGAGAAAGAAUUCUUAAAUAAAUGGAUAAAGGCGAUUCAUAGAAGUAAUUUCAAGCCAACAAAAUUUUCGAAGGUUUGUGCCCUUCAUUUUCACCCUGAGGACAUUUCAAAAUGUAAAGAAUUCGUUGAUGAAAGGACUGGAAGGAAGGUGACUGCUCCCUUAUCGAGAGGUAUCCAGUUCGCUUGUGCAGUUGCUCCUGGAAAAUGAUGCUCUGCAACAAGAGAGUGAUGCUCGAAAUGUAGCCAUUGAACAGCUUCUGAAGAUGACUGUGAAGAUCACUGAAAAUGAACUUCGACCCAUUCAGAUGUCAGUUGUUUUACCCACUGAUGAUUGUGAUGAUGAAGUAUAAAAACUUUUUCAACCCCAAAAGGAGAGCUUUAACCUGACUUCUUGAUGAACAAAAUGUACUCAUAUGUAUGUCUCGAAGUUUAUUGCAGCUAAGGUUGCAUGAUUUUUAUUUACUGCAUUUAAGAGUUAUUUAUUUUUACAUAUUUAUGGGACUGUUUUAAUAUAUAUUUUGUAUAUAUAUAUAUCUACAUAUAUGUAGUUGUGUGUAUUAAGAUUUAUAAAUUCUCUGACUGCUUAUGAUUGGAUUUCCAUUUAGAAUCUGCUGGCACUGAUUCUGACUGCUUGAUUUUUGCAUGUCCCAUUUUUUUCUCUUUCAGGUAACGAAAAAGUCUUACAUGCUUUAUUACCUGUUUCAAAUAUUAUUUUACUUAGCAAAUGGCAGCAGUGAUUCACUACCUUCUUUUUAUUUAUUUAUAUUUUUUAAGAGGUAUAAAAAUAUUUUAUUUUUUUUCUAGUUUGCUGUUUUACUAGUUUUCUGAUCUAAUCUGUUAUUAUUCUUCUGAUUAUAUGUAUAUUGAUCUAAAUUUUUCAUCUAAAAAACAGUAAGAUAUGUAUUUUUUAAAAUGUGUUAUUUUAUUAAGUACUUUACUGUCCCAAACACAAGAAAGCUUCAGGUAUUUGAUAUGCAUUUUAAUGUGCAUUUUUAUAUAAAAAAAGACCUGCUCAUAUGUACUAUUUAAUACAUUAUUUUUCCAACAGGUAGCAACACGGGUCAAAUGCCUAAUUUUAGUAUAAAAGAGCAUAAGAAUUUUUAAUGAAGUUUUCUGAUCUGAAUUUUUAUUAUGAAUUUUUUUUAUUAUUAUUCUUUUAGUAGUCUGAUCUAUUUUUUUUUUAAAUACAGAACUGAGAAAAUAUUAAAAGAACUUUUUUGGGAGUAUUAAGAUAGCUUUAUAAGUAAGAUUAAUCCAUAUUAUUUAAUGUUUAAAGAAAAAAAAAAAAAAAAAAAAAAGAGGGGAAAAUUGUAGUUAUAUAAAAUGUGAAUUUGAUAUAUUGUUGUUACUCUACAAGAAAUGUAGUUAAAUGGCAUUGAAACUAAGUUAGUAUUUCCAUUUAAUGCAAAAGUAGGGGCAUAAGCUAUAUUAAUAUUUUUUUUAAUGUUUACAAGAUGAGUAUAUUUUCAGAAAUCCAUUUUGUGGGGAGAAAAGUGUGAUAUUCAGAUGAAUACAUUACAUUGUAAUUUAUGCUAUGCAUUUAAUUUGCUGAUAUAAUCUAAAAAAACAUUUUGCUAUUGACAUGCACCGUUACCCUUUUAAUUUUAUGUGUAUAAUAUUCUAUAAUUAUUGAAUAUGAUAGCAUAAGUUUCAAUAUCAGAACAUAAUGCAAGUAAUAAGUAUAAUUUAUUUUACAGCAAUAUUAGUUUUCAAAUCCUAGCAAUCAGAGGUUUAAUUGAUAUUUCAAUUGCAAGUUCAGCUACUAUAUUAUGUACUUAAAUAAUUAAAUAUUUCAUUUUAUAUUUUUACUAGUCUUUUAUAAGCUGUGUUUCAGUAUUAACAAUGCAUGCAGCUACCACAUAAAUUUUGAAAUGCAAAUACAUGUUGUUGCAUUUAAUUGACUCAAUAUUUUUGUAAAAUAUUGUUUUAGCUUUAUUUUGAGUUGUUAUGCAUUGUUCAAGAAAGUCUUCAUUGAUUAUUAAAAUUGUUUCAUUUUUUUCAUUUUAGAAAGAUUGGUUAUUGCAGUGUGUUUAUUGUCCUUAAUAAUACUGGCAUAAUGAAAUGUAAAUUUACUAAACAGACACUUCUUGACUUAUGUAAAAUUUACCUCCUUUGAAUCUUAUGCUAGUCAGUUUGUACACAAGCAGAAAUUUCUCUAAAUAUUUGUCUAAUACUUUGUUUAUUAAAAUGUCAGUAAUCUUCUCUAAAAUAUGUCCAAAUAUUAUAAAUUUAAAUAUUUAAUGCUGCUUGAUAAAUUUUACAAAGUUUAUUGUAUUCUCAAAUUUAUUUUAUAAUUAUGCUUAAUAAUAUUGUAUCCUACUUACAGAUCUAUUUUAUUCUUAGGAUGGUAUUAGUUCAAGCAUAAAUAAUAUCUUUAAUUCAAUUUAUUCAAUUCCCUCUUGCUGAUAUGUCCUUAAUUCUUUUUCAUUAAUGGUCCUUAAGAGUACUUAAUUUUCACGUGCAGAAAUGUGUACGAACCCUGUACCAUCUGUUGAGGAAAAUAGUAAUAAAAUGAGAAAAAGCUAAAGUAUUAGCAUUUUUAAAGCAUCUGAUAGAAUUGGAUUGGAAUGAAUGUCACUGGUGAAGGAAGGUAAAUUUUCAUGAAUAAAAAGCUUCAAAGAAAUCCAUGAGUUGGUGAAAUAAAACUCACAAUUAAAGAGAGAUGACAGUGAAGUGCUAUACAAUUUCCUUUCAAUAACCUAUUCUUAAAUGGCCAGUACUGCCUCCUAGGAGGUUUUUGAUUACCAAAUAGUUCAGAAAAAUGACAUUAUUUAUAUACAUUCAUACAGCUAUAUAAGAUGGCACCGUAUUUGUAGUGUAUUUUGAUUCAUGUCGCAUGAUGGAUGUCAUGCAUGAGCUGUAUCAGACAAUGCAACAUUUUUUAUUAGUUAACUGCUAUUGUGUUCACCUUCUUUUCAAUACAGAGAACUGGAUCACUGAGCAUUAGGCUUUUGUUCUUGGUGGUUAUAUCAAGAAUUCCAACUCUAUAAUUUUUCAUGGGGAUACCUCAAAUAAAAAGUUAUCUAAACACAUUAUGCCACAUUAUUAGAAUUGAAAGACCAAACCCGGCCUGUUAUUUCUGGAGCAUGAAUCUCCAGAUUUUAAGCAAACCUCAAAAUUAUCUUGUUUUUUGUGUCUGUAUGUUUUAUUCAUGAAAAGUAGGAUUAGUAUUGCAUAAAUCAAGGCAAAGCACUUCAGGAUUAUAUGUCUAAGAGGAGGGAUGCUUUCAUGAAAGACCUUUUUAAAGGAAAUAAACUCAUAUUUAUGUUAUAUAUGGGAGGAAAAUCAUGAAAACUCCAAUGCAGCCUGUCUGUGUUCUGAGGUUUGAACUUGGGUCAGAUUAUCAGUGUUCAGCAGUUUUUAUCACUUGGAUGCUUGUAGGAAUAAAAAUUAAGAAAAUGAGUAUUUGGGGCCUCUGAAACUAUGUGAUACAUUGGCCCUAAAACUGGCUUAAUUGGGCUCUUUUGAGUGCAUUAGUGUCACCAUUAUUCCUGGUGAUAUGUUAUGUGUUAUGAUAUGUAAUUGACUUCAUUGCUUCAACGAAUGUGUGGUGCAGUAAUGGCAGCCAUUUAAUGGAGUGAUAUUCAAAUAUUGAUUAAUAAAUGGCACUUUUAUAACUAUUAUUUGGCACAUAAUUGUAAAACAGUUGUUUGCUGAUAAUGUCAUUCGAUUAAUAUACCAUGAAUAAUAUAUAGAGAGUAUGGAUUGUCAUGUACAUGAAAUUUUUAUUUAGAUGCAUUUAAUUCUUUUUUCUACCUUGUAUGAACAAAAGUAGGUAUUAUAAUCACGAAAAAUCUAAGAUAUCAGAUUUCAAUGAAAAUAUCAAUUGUGACUGUUCCCAAUUCCAUUUGGAUAAUUUUUUCUGUGAUGUAUGAACAAAAUAAAGGAUUCUUUUUCCAAAAUGUAUUUAAAUUGGAUUCAAAAGAGAUUUAUUCAUGAUGUUUAUAUGUACAUAUAUGUGUAUCUCACAUAACUCUAAAAUGGCUAACCAUAGAACUUUUAAAUGGCUACCCAUAGAAUUUUGUUUAUGGGACUGGUAGUUGGGCACCUCCGUUUUUAAUGCAAUCGGCAGCAUCAAAUGCAUGUAUAUAUAAAUUAUAGACCAAAACUAAUAAAUUAAAUUCUGAACUAAUAUCACAAAGACAUGAAAGAAAUUAAUUUAAAAAAAUUCUGUAAUAAACACAUACACCACUCUCUUACCCAGUCUAAAAGUCCAUCCCCAGCCUCUAUUUUCCCAUCUGUUAGUUGCAGUCAUAUACUUUCAAUUGCCAAAGUGUUUUAAAUGAUGAAAAUAUUUAUGUUUUGUCAAUGUCAAAUUAAAAAAAAAAAAAAAAAAAAAAAAAAAAAAUCAACAAAUAGGGAAACCUAACGUUUAAUGCAGUUUCCCGAUUCCUGUACUUUUUUAGUAUGUUUUGUGCUUCUUAUGAAAAAAUAAAAGUACAAGAAGUUUGACUCUUGCGUGACGAAAAUCGACUCGGAAAUCAAUUUCAAAAUUUUUAAUUUUUGAUGUCAUUUUAAACUUGCCUUGAGGGAUCACUUAAUUAAAUUAGAAUAAUCGGACAAAAUAAGUUUAAAUGAAAUGCAGCAAAAAGUAUGUAUAAUUUAAUAAGUCGUACAUUCGCAUCAGUUUUUUUUAAAACAGAAAUAGCAGGUGUACCAGUUCAUAUAUCACUUUGAAGUGAUGGAACUAAUGCUUUAUAUCAACAGUUCCAAAGAGCCUGCACCACUUCCUAGAGAGCAUAUAUUUAGGGCAUGUAAAAGAAUGUUGUCAUUUAGUAAAGUGUAAGACUUUAUAAUUUAAAUUUAAUUAAUCUGUAAUUGCUUAACAAGCUUAGAGAUUUUCCAGAUCAAUGAAUGUGUUUCUAAAUAAUUUUAAUAUUUGUUUUGUUUUUUAAUUGUUAUAAAUUAAAAUGCACAGUACCUGCAGGUAAAUUUUAGAAUAUUUGCAAAAUUAUUGUGAUUAAUAAAAGAUAUUUCUGUAUGUGAUAUACCUGAUAAUCAAUGUGUGAUAUACUUGGUUUGAUAUUUUAAUAUGGUAGAUAAUAAUUAUUAUUUUCUUUAUAGCAGCUUGGAGGUUUGUGUUAUGUUGGCUUAUUUUAUUUUAAAAUUAAGUGUAAUAUAAGUCAUGGAGUGGCUGUUAUAAAUUUGAAAUUUUAAUAUGAAUUGCACUUUUUCAUGUAUCAUCAUUUUUAGGUAAACUUGCAACAGUAUUUUGAAAGCUAGUUAUUUUCUCAAUUUCCUUGCAUUUAUUCUUUAAAAUCCAUUGUUUGUAUCUUAUUUGAGAAAAAAAUUGUUAAUUUUUUAAUUCACUUUUGUAUGUAUGUGGUAUGUGUAUGAAAUUUCAAAAUAAUUUUUUUUAUUAUGAAUGUUUGCAGAGCCAUAUAUUUUCCCUUUUGUAAUGUGUUAUUUUCAGUUCUUAGUCAAAACUACAAGAAUUGAAAUAUUUAUAUCAGGUGAACACUUUUGUGUGACCAUAGAUUGAGCAGUGGAGUGUUAAUACUUUUUCAUAUUUAAAAUAUAACUAACUAUAAGCAUUUACCUGUUGAUGUAACAAGAGUGUUUAAGUUUAUUAUUUUUCAGGUUUUAAGUUGUUUAUUUCUAUCUCUGUUUAAACAGAACUGAUUUUUAAAAUAAUUUGUUUCAAGAAAUAAAAUUAGUAAAUAAAUAAAAUAAUAUAAUUAGGUGUUUUGGAACUCUUCUAAAUUAUGUUUCGAAUUUUACAUAAUGCAUCAUUUAUGUCACUUGAGUUUUAACCAGUUUUCAAAAUACGUUUUUUCAUGUGUGUGCGUGCACAUGUGUACAUGUAUGUGUGUUUAUGUAAGAUUAAUAUAGUACCUAUAUAAAAGAAAAAAGUGGGGAUUCUGUGAGGUAUUAUUGCUUUCAGUUUUGAUGAAAUCAUAUCCAUGAGAAUAGACAUUGUUGUUAACUAUAUUAGAUUUUUUUCUUUCUCUUCUAUGUUAUACUGAUGCAUUGCCUCUAUACAUCAUAAGUUAAUCAUUUAAAAAACCAAUUUAUUCAAAUUUCUUAGCAACAUUUUGGAAAGAGUGAUAUUUUAUAGUCAAGUGUCAUAAAUAAAAUAGUUUUCUACCAUCCUGUAAAAUUGAUUGAGUGCAAAAUUUCUAAUGAUAUUUUUUGUAUAUUCAUCCAGAAUUAAACUAUUGUAAUGGAAUUUCAUAGUAAUUUGUUACUUGCAAACUUGUACAUUUUUAAAAAUUUUAUUUGUAUUGUAAUGUAUAUUUUAAAUAUUUUGAUAUUCUUUUAUUUAAAGCAUUUUAUGUUAUGUGAAGAAAUGUUGAAACAAUGCCAAAACUUUUUAAAAGUGAAAUUCUUUUCUAGGGGAGUUUUAAAUUUAUUCAAGAGUUAAAGUUCAUAUAACUAUACUUUAUUCUUAACAAACGAUAAACCUACCUCUUUCUCCUUCCUUUUUUCUUUUUUCUCCUUUUUCCCUCCCAUUUUAAAAUUUUCCUCUUAACUUCAUUCAAAUUUUAAGAUUUAAAUUUCUAUUCCUCAUUUUUUAUUGCAAAUAUAUGUUUUGGAACAUUUUGAAUUCUUGAAUGCUUUGAAUGGAAAACUUAUUAAAAGCAUUGCAGUAAAAUGACCCGUGAAUGAUGCAAUAGCGUUUUAAAUGCUGUACUAAUACAUUUAAUGAAAGAAGAGUGAUGUUUCCAAAAUGAAUGUGCCACAAAACUGUGUAGAAUCAUUUUCCUCUUUGUAGUAUGUGCUGGCAAAUGGUUAAGUUAUGAGGUUGUAAUUGCAUAUAAAAAUGUAAAUAUUCUAUUUUUAAGUGUAGAUCUGGGAUUUACAGUUUUCAUAAAAUAAUUUAGCUAUUAAAAGUGUAUAAAUAUUCUAAAGCUUUAUUUUGCUGUUAACUUUUUCUUAGUUCUAUGAGCACUAUUUUUCUUAGUGGUUGGCCACUAGUGAACAUGCAGUGGCUGAUUAUUGAAUUUGUGUCUUAUGAAAUGCAAACUGCACUUGUGCCUUCGUUUUGUGAGCUGAUUUAAAAUUUAUUGAUUGUUUUACCUCAUGUGUUUUAUCAUGCUAUGCAUCAGAUUGUAAGCUUUUGUUAUUUUGAGACAUUUUACAGUGGUAAGAAUAACUUUUAUCAUCUGGUAAUGAAAUUUAAUUAUUAAACUCAUGGGAAAAUA